rnacentral:rRNA from 1 species
AUUGAACGCUGGCGGCGGGCUUAACACAUGCAAGUCGAGCGGGGGAGGUUGCUUCGGUAACCGACCUAGCGGCGGACGGGUGAGUAAUACUUAGGAAUCUGCCUAUUAAUGGGGGACAACAUCUCGAAAGGGAUGCUAAUACCGCAUACGCCCUACGGGGGAAAGCAGGGGAUCACUUGUGACCUUGCGUUAAUAGAUGAGCCUAAGUCGGAUUAGCUAGUUGGUGGGGUAAAGGCCUACCAAGGCGACGAUCUGUAGCGGGUCUGAGAGGAUGAUCCGCCACACUGGGACUGAGACACGGCCCAGACUCCCACGGGAGGCAGCAGUGGGGAAUAUUGGACAAUGGGGGGAACCCUGAUCCAGCCAUGCCGCGUGUGUGAAGAAGGCCUUAUGGUUGUAAAGCACUUUAAGCGAGGAGGAGGCUCUUUUGGUUAAUACCCAAGAUGAGUGGACGUUACACGCAGAAUAAGCACCGGCUAACUCUGUGCCAGCCGCCGCCGUAAGAC